rnacentral:rRNA from 1 species
GACGAACGCUGGCGGCGUGCUUAACACAUGCAAGUCGAACGGUAAGGCCCUUCGGGGUACACGAGUGGCGAACGGGUGAGUAACACGUGGGUGAUCUGCCCUGCACUUCGGGAUACGCCUGGGAAACCGGGUCUAAUACCGGAUAGGACCACUGCCUGCAUGGGUGGUGCUGGAAAGCUUUUGCGGUGUGGGAUGGGCCCGCGGCCUAUCAGCUUGUUGGUGGGGUGAUGGCCUACCAAGGCGACGACGGGUAGCCGGCCUGAGAGGGUGACCGGCCACACUGGGACUGAGAUACGGCCCAGACUCCUACGGGAGGCAGCAGUGGGGAAUAUUGCACAAUGGGCGCAAGCCUGAUGCAGCGACGCCGCGUGAGGGAUGACGGCCUUCGGGUUGUAAACCUCUUUCAGCACCGACGAAGCGCAAGUGACGGUAGGUGCAGAAGAAGGACCGGCCAACUACGUGCCAGCAGCCGCCGUAA